rnacentral:rRNA from 2 species
GACGAGGCACUACGGUGCUGAAGCAACAAAUGCCCUGCUUCCAGGAAAAGCCUCUAAGCAUCAGGUAACACGAAAUCGUACCCCAAACCGACACAGGUGGUCAGGUAGAGAAUACCAAGGCGCUUGAGAGAACUCGGGUGAAGGAACUAGGCAAAAUGGUGCCGUAACUUCGGGAGAAGGCACGCUGACACGUAGGUGAAGUGAUUUACUCAUGGAGCUGAAGUCAGUCGAAGAUACCAGCUGGCUGCAACUGUUUAUUAAAAACACAGCACUGUGCAAACACGAAAGUGGACGUAUACGGUGUGACGCCUGCCCGGUGCCGGAAGGUUAAUUGAUGGGGUCAGCGCAAGCGAAGCUCCUGAUCGAAGCCCCGGUAAACGGCGGCCGUAACUAUAACGGUCCUAAGGUAGCGAAAUUCCUUGUCGGGUAAGUUCCGACCUGCACGAAUGGCGUAAUGAUGGCCAGGCUGUCUCCACCCGAGACUCAGUGAAAUUGAACUCGCUGUGAAGAUGCAGUGUACCCGCGGCAAGACGGAAAGACCCCGUGAACCUUUACUAUAGCUUGACACUGAACAUUGAGCCUUGAUGUGUAGGAUAGGUGGGAGGCUUUGAAGUGUGGACGCCAGUCUGCAUGGAGCCGACCUUGAAAUACCACCCUUUAAUGUUUGAUGUUCUAACGUGGACCCGUAAUCCGGGUUGCGGACAGUGUCUGGUGGGUAGUUUGACUGGGGCGGUCUCCUCCUAAAGAGUAACGGAGGAGCACGAAGGUUGGCUAAUCCUGGUCGGACAUCAGGAGGUUAGUGCAAUGGCAUAAGCCAGCUUGACUGCGAGCGUGACGGCGCGAGCAGGUGCGAAAGCAGGUCAUAGUGAUCCGGUGGUUCUGAAUGGAAGGGCCAUCGCUCAACGGAUAAAAGGUACUCCGGGGAUAACAGGCUGAUACCGCCCAAGAGUUCAUAUCGACGGCGGUGUUUGGCACCUCGAUGUCGGCUCAUCACAUCCUGGGGCUGAAGUAGGUCCCAAGGGUAUGGCUGUUCGCCAUUUAAAGUGGUACGCGAGCUGGGUUUAGAACGUCGUGAGACAGUUCGGUCCCUAUCUGCCGUGGGCGCUGGAGAACUGAGGGGGGCUGCUCCUAGUACGAGAGGACCGGAGUGGACGCAUCACUGGUGUUCGGGUUGUCAUGCCAAUGGCACUGCCCGGUAGCUAAAUGCGGAAGAGAUAAGUGCUGAAAGCAUCUAAGCACGAAACUUGCCCCGAGAUGAGUUCUCCCUGAGACUUAGAGUCUCCUGAAGGAACGUUGAAGACGACGACGUUGAUAGGCCGGGUGUGUAAGCGCAGCGAUGCGUUGAGCUAACCGGUACUAAUGAACCGUGAGGCUUAACCUUACAACGCCGAAG